rnacentral:rRNA from 1 species
CAGUCGAACGAUUAAAGCUCUCUUCGGAGAGUGCAUAGAGUGGCGCACGGGUGAGUAACACGUAAGUAAUCUACCUUCGAGUGGGGAAUAACGUCCGGAAACGGACGCUAAUACCGCAUAAUGCAGCGGCAUCGCAAGAUGACAGUUGUUAAAGGAGCAAUUCGCUUGAAGAGGAGCUUGCGGCAGAUUAGCUAGUUAGUAAGGUAACGGCUUACCAAGGCUACGAUCUGUAACCGGUCUAAGAGGACGGUCGGUCACACUGACACUGAAUAACGGGUCAGACUCCUACGGGAGGCAGCAGUCGGGAAUUUUGGGCAAUGGGCGAAAGCCUGACCCAGCAACGCCGCGUGAAGGAUGAAGUAUUUCGGUAUGUAAACUUCGAAAGAAUGGGAAGAAUCAAUGACGGUACCAUUUAUAAGGUCCGGCUAACUACGUGCCAGCAGCCGCGGUAAUACGUAGGGACCAAGCGUUGUUCGGAUUUACUGGGCGUAAAGGGCGCGUAGGCGGCGUGACAAGUCACUUGUGAAAUCUCCGGGCUUAACUCGGAACGGCCAAGUGAAACUGUCAAGCUAGAGUGCAGAAGGGGCAAUCGGAAUUCUUGGUGUAGCGGUGAAAUGCGUAGAUAUCAAGAGGAACACCUGAUGUGAAGACGGGUUGCUGGGCUGACACUGACGCUGAGC